GAUGAACGCUGGCGGCGUGCCUAAUACAUGCAAGUCGAGCGAAUGGAUUAAGAGCUUGCUCUUAUGAAGUUAGCGGCGGACGGGUGAGUAACACGUGGGUAACCUGCCCAUAAGACUGGGAUAACUCCGGGAAACCGGGGCUAAUACCGGAUAACAUUUUGAACCGCAUGGUUCGAAAUUGAAAGGCGGCUUCGGCUGUCACUUAUGGAUGGACCCGCGUCGCAUUAGCUAGUUGGUGAGGUAACGGCUCACCAAGGCAACGAUGCGUAGCCGACCUGAGAGGGUGAUCGGCCACACGGGGAGUGGGACACGGCCCAGACGCGUACGGGAGGCAGCAGUAGGGAAUCUUCCGCAAUGGACGAAAGUCUGACGGAGCAACGCCGCGUGAGUGAUGAAGGCUUUCGGGUCGUAAAACUCUGUUGUUAGGGAAGAACAAGUGCUAGUUGAAUAAGCUGGCACCUUGACGGUACCUGACCAGAAAGCCACGGCUAACUACGUGCCAGCCGCCGCAGUAA
rnacentral:rRNA from 1 species